rnacentral:lncRNA from 1 species
UGACUUCUGACUGAGUUUUUCCAAAACUUCAGAAGGCUGUGCCUUGAUUUCUGCAAACUGCAAAGUGGAUGCGGCAUAUGUCUAUACAGCACCUGGCCUAGCUUAGCAAGCUGCCUUAAGCAUGUCCGGUAUCAAACUGGAGUUAUUUCCCGAUCCAGAUAUGUGUUUGCAUUAUUUGGAAAGGGCAUUUGGGCAGGCAUCGGUAUGAUCUCACACUGAUUCAGCCAAGCCAAUAAUAAAUAUAUGAAGAAUUAUGACCCAAAAAUGCAUUCAUCUUAAAUCAUGUAUUUGGAUGUCCAUAACUUGCAUGGGUGGAUCAUGAACUACACUUUACCAACUCAUGAUUUUCAGUGGCAUGACGGACAUUUCAGCUUCAUGGAGAUUGCUGACGAUGCGGAAAAAAGGAUGUAUUCUAGAAGCUGAUCUUGACUACUAUGCAAGCGAAUUUUACGAUAAUCAUUUCGACUAUCCUCUUGCUCGUAAACAAUUUGUCGUGAUUCCUGAUAUGUCCAUACAGCAUCUGGCUUGCAACAUUCAUUGGCUUUAAUACUAAGUAGCGUCAAUUAGUCAAAUCCUCGUUCCGAAAGGGCUUAUUUAAACAAUUAAACAACUCGGUUUUUGGGAAAACAGUGGAAAAUCUCUGUAAACGUACCUGCACUGAUCUGGAUUAACGAAAGCAACGAAAGAGCCAAGAAGUUGGUCGCUGUUCCAAUAUUUCACUCAUUCAAGAUCAUUAAGGAUGAUCUGGCAGUCACCGAUCGACGAGAAACCUUUUGAUUCUCAACCAACUUAUCUAAGUAGGCUUCCAUAUUUUGGAUUUAUCGAAAACACAGAUUUAUGAAUUCAAUUACGGAUAUAUCAAGAAACACUGCAGAUCCAAGGCGCAUUUGCUAUUCACAGACAUAGACAGUCUUUGUUAUGAAACAGAAAUUGCCGAUGUUUGCAAAGAUAUGGCCUACAAUCUGAGCUUAUUCGACACCUCAGACUACCCGGAAAAUUAUGCUUUCUACUGCCUUACAAAUGAAAAGGUAAUUGUUAAAAUGAAAGACAAAGUGUGUGGACAAAUUACCCAAGAAUUUGCCGGGCUCAAACAAAAAGUAUACUGCACUGAGAAGAAAACUGCUAAGGGUGUAGCGAAAACAAUUCUUAAAAGACAGAUUCGUCACCUGGGCUAUAUUAACUGUCUUAUUUAACAACAACGUGGUCUUGCCCAUGCUCAAUGUAUUGCCAGUCUCAUCAGAUAAAGACUGUAGCUUAUACGAGAGCUGCUUAGUGCCCUUUCGAUAUGAAACGGUAUCUUUUAUAAGGUGGGACAUUGUUCUACGAUUAUGGACAUUAUGCCAUAUAAUUUUUAGUGUAAAUAGUUUUAUCUCUGUACAAUCAUAUUUUUAAAUUUUUAAUUAUUUUGUGCUGUGAAUUUAGUAUGUUUGAAAUGUCUUUACCCUUAAAAAUAUUUAUUUAAAUAACUUUUAAAAUAAAAAUAUUUUACGCAUAAAUGUAUAAUUUAGUAUGUUCAUGUUUCGAAUUUCGAACAAAUAAAUAAUGUUACUUGAAAAAAACUAACUCUUAAAUAAAAGCGAGUUUUUUAAUAUUUUCAAUUACGGCAAGUAAAGUUUUUUCAAAAAAUGAGAAGUUAGAAUGAAGCAUUUUAAAAGUCUGGUAGAGCAAUUAUAAGUAGAAUAGAUUUUUCAAAUAAGACUUAGUUGACAUGGAACACUUAAAACUAAAGCAUGCUUUCACAAUAUUAGCUGUCGGCCCUAAUGGUAGCGGAAAGAGUGUAUUUAUUAAAAUAUUAAUUGAGCAUCACAUGAUUACUCCGUUUCCUCCCAAAACUAUUUGGUGCUAAAUCUUUACAAUGAGAUGAAGCAUAUUGAAUUAGGUGACGGUUUGCUUGAAAAUAUUCACACUUUAUCAAUUUCUCUGAUUAUUGUUGAUGAUUUUAUCUUAGAACUCGGCAAUGAUGUAAGAGUGACCAAGUUAUUUACCAAAGGAUCUCAUCAUCGAAAUCUAUUUUCGUUGUUGUUAUUUCGGUUGUAAAACAUGCACUUCAUAAAGGUAUUUGGGUUUGAACAUUAAUUAUUUAGUGCUCUUUAAAAAUACAAGAAACAAAUCUUAGAUCCUGAAUCUAGGAAGGCAGUUAUAUCUAGGAGAGAAUAAGUUUUCUCAAGAAGUGUAUCAGGAUGCUACUUCAAAAUAUGGCAGUCAUUUUCUGGUUGACCUUCCCACCUGAAAUAUCUGAUUCAUUGUGUCUGAGAACGAGAUUUUUUCCAAGCGAUAAAUACUACGUAUAUCAACCUCGCUAGUCAUUUGGUGGUGAGACGUCAAUGAAUAUGUCUGGGGUGAUAGGUGUUCAGCAUUAUUUCAGGCCAGUUUGUUAUUAAAGGAAACUUGCAGCGUUUCCCGUAUGAGACCCAAUGUUUUGCGGCAGAUUAACCUUUUAUCCCCCAUGCUCCUUUGAAAUGUCGGCAAGAGAAAACAACUCACGUUUUCACGGGUGUCUUGGAGUAUACGUCAUAUGGAUUGGACGUGUGAAGAAAUGUCAUAUUUAAUGCCCAAGUUGUUGUUUCGUUCAUCUAAAAUGAUAUUUGUGAACAAAAUAUCACACAGCACCAAUUAGAAAAACUUAAAGUCAUCUCCACAAGUAAAUUUUCAAGUUAUUCGCAAAUGCUCCAACAAUGUCAUAAAGAGUGUGCCUUAAACUUACUUCGAGAUCAUCUUUCCAUUUUCCCAAUGCGAAACGUUCAGUUAUCAGCAUACGAGGGAAGUUUAUGAAAACUUGCUAAUAAAGAAAGCAUUUCUGUGUAAGGACAGAAGACUGCUUGUGCAAAGAGGGGAGAGUUUUAUAAGUGUUCUCUUGCAUGUGGUUAUUUCUGUUAUUAGCUAUCUUAUUCAUGGAGUUUAGUAAAGAACUUCUCAUUGUACCAGAAGAAUGAUGACAAACGAUUGAAUGUCUUAUGGAUGAGAAAUGGUUAGAAUUGGAAAAAAAAGACCUUGACGAAUGUGAAAAGAAGCCUUUUAGCUGCAAGUGUCAUAGAAAUAUAUUACUUAUCAAUUACUGCCACCUCUUUAUAAAACAGAGAAAUUCUACGGAAAAGAAGGAAGACUGUUUCAUAAAGAAAGAAGAUAUUUCUGCUGAAGACGAUUUGAGAAAGAUGGUGGGAAUGUGGUUCCUUUAAAGUACAAAUACCAAACAAAACACAUUCAUCAUCAUGUGAAGAAACAUAUUUCAGCUCGAGGUGAGAUCAUUUAUCUGGAUCAAGUUGUUCCAGGGACUCAUGUUGCGACACUCAUAAAUCAGUUUUUAAGAAAUAAGAAAAAAAUCCCUUUGUUAGACAAAAUGAAUAUUAUACUCUGUUAAAAAAAUUGGGUUUACCUACUAUGUACAACGUUCAUAACAAAGUAUAAUCCAUGUACCCUCAAAGAAAUGUAUACCUUAAAUAUUAAAUAAAGCAAUGUGAACUUGA